UCCCUUUGACUUUGUUUUUUUAUGACCAUAUUUUAUUUUUCUCUAUUUUUCACUAGGGAAGAAAUGUUACAAGGAUUCCCCAAAACGAAUUCUGCCCUACUGCUUUCAAGUAAGGAAAAGAACAAAGAAGAAAGAAAGUCACAGGAAGCAGAAAGAGUAUAGAUGUGAUUUUUUUUUCUGUUCCUUUUGGGAAUGGGAGUUCUUUCUCUUCAGAAAAUGGUGGUGCUACUUGCAGAUGAGUGAGACCCUGAUGUAGUCCAUGCACUGGCAGGGGACACUGGGGAUUGGGUUUUGCAUUUGGGGUUGUAAAUAGUCUCUUAGAGGCAGGUCCAACCUUCUUUGGCCAAUAUUCCCAGAAUAACCCAGGCCUGCUUUUGGCAUUUAGGUUUUCAGACAAAAGAUAUCUUUGUUUGUGCUGCUAUAACAAAAUACCACAGAAUGGGUCAUUUAUAAACAAUAGAAAUUUAUUUCUCAUGGUUCUGGAGGCUGGGAAGUCCAAAAUCAAGGUCGGCAUGUUGGGUUUCUGGUGAGGGCUAUGCUCUGCAUCGAAGAUGGCAUCCCAUCGCUGCAUCCUCUGGAAGCAACAAACGCUGUGUCCUCACACAGCAGAAGGGACAGAAGGGCAAGAGAGGGCUCCCUCAAGCUGUUUUAUAAGGGUGCUAAUUCCAUUCGUGAGGGCAGAGCCCUCAUAACUUAAUAUACCAUUAAACUGGAGAUUAAGUUUCAAUUGGAAUUUUGGAGUGGACGCCAUCAUUCAAACCACUGCAACCUAGGAAGCUCUAGGGAGUCCAUUGGGCUCUUGGUGAGAAUUGUAUUCCUUAACAUCUUAUUUCAUGUUUGCUCCUUUAUCUGUGUUUCUUCUUUAUUUGUUUAUGAUAAGGAGACUGGAGACAGUUGAUUAUCAUUUUAGGGGGAAAAUGAUGCUUUCCCAGGAAGUUCCCAGGACAGAAGGAAGGGAGGAGGCGCUGAGUGGGAGAGACGAGACACUGUUCCUAGAACAUGGUGCAGGAAGCCACAGCUUCCUGUUCCAGUCAGAGGGAGCAUUGGGUCAGCUUUGGGUUAGGGUAGGUGUGAAGGGGUGGAUGGUAAUUUCUCUAUCAUUAUACAAAAUCUGUAGAUUGACCAGCUUGCUGCUGUCUUCUGCUCAUGAUUCCUGUAGCAACUACCACCCUGGGACUUCUUUUUUUUUGAAAGAAAGAGUCUCAAAAAUGGCCAAUCCAGUAAGCAAGGUGCUUGGGGACAGUUAUUUCACAGAAGGUGCUGUGUGGGCAUGGGAGGAGUGUCCACCUCUUGCAAAAAUGAGAUUCUUGCCUACUGCAGUGUUAGUAUUUAGACCUACUUGCUUCAUCUGCUAGUCAGGAUUUUGUCUGGGGUUAUUGGUUUGGGGCAAGGGGACAAAUAAGCUGGGGUGGACACUGGGAGACCUGGGCAAAGGGAGCUCAGAGGAUGGGCAUCUCACUUGGACUUGAGUGGCUAGGGAAGUCUUUCUCGGGGAAGUUAUGUCUGAAUUUCAGCCUCUGUAGCCAGAGAAGGGACUUCUGAACAGUAGGAACAGAAUAUGCAAAAGGCUAGAGAGUGACAGACACAAAUAUUGGAUGAGCUACAGAUGUUCAGUCUGGUUAGUGCAGAAUAUAUAAGGGAUAAACAAGAAGGCUAGAGAGGGGAGCAGGGUCUGGGCUGUGCUGGGGUUUUACUCAGAUGUGGCUGUGCUUGCUGGAUUGUAGAUGCUCUUCCUGUCAGCACCUGCACACAGAGGCUCCUGCUCAGGAUAGGGAGGAGAAACUAGAAGAACAUGGCACCUGCUGGUGGUGCCUUGUCCAUAUCUUCUUGCUCUUACCUUCUCAGUGCACACAGGCCAACUUUCAACACGGCCAGCACUUACAUUGCUUCACCUGAAGGCUUUCUCUGCCUUCCAAACUGACUUUCUUUGCUGCCAACACAUCGGGCUGGAAAUGCUAAAAAAUUAGGAGCCACGCUCAACCAAUGACUCUCAGGAUCCUUUUCUGAGAGUCAUGCUGAAGGAACUGCCACUAUCUGUAACAUUUUUGGCAGCCACAGCAAAUGCCUUACAUCAGCAAUAGAAUGUUCAGCCUGGAAGUGAUACAUGCAACUCAGUGGCCAGAAACGUGAGCUUGUCAUCACCCUUUCAUUUCUGAAAUUCUCCUCC
rnacentral:lncRNA from 1 species